rnacentral:rRNA from 1 species
UAGCAAUAUUCUGUAGUCGGAGCGGCGCAAGGGUGCGUAACACGUGGGUAAUCUGCCAUGAAGUUUGGGAUAACUCGCUGAAAGGCGAGCUAAUACCGGAUGUGACGAUUGGAAGGCAUCUUCUGAUCUUCAAAGUUGGGGACCGUAAGGCCUGACGCUUCAUGAUGAGCCCGCGGCCUAUCAGCUAGUUGGUGAGGUAACGGCUCACCAAGGCUAAGACGGGUAGCUGGUCUGAGAGGACGACCAGCCACACUGGAACUGAGACACGGUCCAGACACCUACGGGUGGCAGCAGUCGAGAAUUUUUCACAAUGGGGGAAACCCUGAUGGAGCGACGCCGCGUGGGGGAUGAAUGGCUUCGGCCCGUAAACCCCUGUCAUUCGCGAACAAUGCCUGUGUAUUAACACCAUACAGGUUGAUAGUAGCGGAAGAGGAAGGGACGGCUAACUCUGUGCCAGCAGCCGCGGUAAUACAGAGGUCCCAAGCGUUGUUCGGAUUCACUGGGCGUAAAGGGUGCGUAGGCGGUCGGGUAAGUCUGAUGUGAAAUCUCACAGCUUAACUGUGAAACUGCAUUGGAUACUAUUCGGCUUGAGGUCUGGAGGGGGGACUGGAAUUCACGGUGUAGCA